UAGGGAAUCUUCCACAAUGGGCGAAAGCCUGAUGGAGCAACGCCGCUUGUGUGAUGAAGGGUUUCGGCUCGUAAAACACUGUUGUAAGAGAAGAAUGACAUUGAGAGUAACUGUUCAAUGUGUGACGGUAUCUUACCAGAAAGGAACGGCUAAAUACGUGCCAA
rnacentral:rRNA from 1 species